GCCGCUUUCGUCUAGUGGUUAGGACACGACGUUCUCAACGUUGAAACAUGGGUUCGAUUCCCGUAAGCGGCA
rnacentral:tRNA from 1 species